UACAGAGGUCCCGAGCGUUGUUCGGAUUCACUGGGCGUAAAGGGUGCGUAGGUGGCAUAGAAAGUUUGAUGUGAAAGCUCAGGGCUUAACCCUGAAAUGGCAUUGAAUACUGCUGCGCUGGAGGUUUGGAGGGGGGACUGGAACUCUUGGUGUAGCAGUGAAAUGCGUAGAUAUCAAGAGGAGCACCAGUGGCGAAGGCGAGUCCCUGGACAACACCUGACACUGAGGCACGAAAGCUAGGGGAGCAAACAGG
rnacentral:rRNA from 1 species